rnacentral:rRNA from 1 species
GACGAACGCUGGCGGCGUGCCUAAUACAUGCAAGUAGAACGCUGAAGGAGGAGCUUGCUUCUCUGGAUGAGUUGCGAACGGGUGAGUAACGCGUAGGUAACCUGCCUGGUAGCGGGGGAUAACUAUUGGAAACGAUAGCUAAUACCGCAUAAUAGUAGAUGUCGCAUGACAUUUGCUUAAAAGGUGCAAUUGCAUCACUACCAGAUGGACCUGCGUUGUAUUAGCUAGUUGGUGAGGUAACGGCUCACCAAGGCAACGAUACAUAGCCGACCUGAGAGGGUGAUCGGCCACACUGGGACGGAGACACGGCCCAGACUCCUACGGGAGGCAGCAGUAGGGAAUCUGCGGCAAUGGACGGAAGUCUGACCGAGCAACGCCGCGUGAGGGAAGAAGGUUGUCGGAUCGGAAAGCUCUGUUGUAAGAGAAGAACGAGUGUGAGAGUGGAAAGUUCACAGUGUGACGGUAUCUUACCAGAAAGGGACGGCUAACUACGUG